UAACAUUUAUCAGAAAUUUAGUCUUUUAUUUAAAUCUUGAAGACGUUUUAGUUAAAAACAUAGAUUUAAUUUUCACCAACAAAUAUUAACAAAAUAUCAACUGAAAUCAUUUAAUAAAUCGGCAAGAAAUGUAUAAUUGUCAAACCACAAAUUAACCUAAAAAUAUGAAAACAUCUUAUAUUUUUGAACACUAAAUAUUUCAAUUUAAUAUUUUUUUUAAAACAGAAAAUGUAGAUUUUAAUGGUAUAUUGUUU
rnacentral:lncRNA from 1 species